rnacentral:lncRNA from 1 species
AACUGUGAACACCCUUUUGAUGUCAUUUUAAGAUCCGUAAACCCCCAUUGAGAUGUUUAUAUUAGGCGACAACUCGUUUGUGAGGGUUAUUUAUGUUUUAAACCCAUAGUCUUUCAACCUAUUUUUAUUUAUAACACUCUAAUUUAGCUUAGUUUUCAAUCCAAACUUCUUUGUUAGUUUUUUUUUAACUAAGGUCUAAUACUAUUGACAAUAAAAUACAACAAGGAAUGGAAUGUAGUUUCACUUGUUUUUGGUUAAGGUUUAGGCUCUGCUAGGUCUAAAAUUUCGAGUUGUGGCACAUAAAUCAGGAAAGAAAGUUACUGCACAAUGAAGAUCCCUUUCCAUUUAGCUAACUGACAAUAAGUUGCAUGUAAGCUUUGGAACAUGUAAAACGCCCUAGAUUCACAAACCACUAGGCAAGUUACAGACACCCUUUCCUUCAACUAGUAUGCAGUCACCAUUCAAUAUAGUAACUGGUAACUCAUGUGUGGUCUCUAUUUUGCUUUCAAUAUAAUCUUCUCUAUCGAUGAUAUGCUCGGUUGCACCGGAGUCUAUAACCCAAUCACUACAAUGAUUUUCCUUCCCUGUCUUUUGAGCAGUUAUUUCUAUGCAUUCUUCAACUGAACCGUUCCAUUGUGUAAAGAUAUUCUGAAAUUGUUGAUAUUGUUCGUUGUUGAGUCCCGAUAUAGGACCUCUUUCAGUUUCUACAUUAGUCGCCUUAGUUUUUUCCCUUUCUUGUCUUCCCUUUUCUAAUUACCACUUUGGAUAACUUAUAAGUUUGAAGAAACCAUCACUGCUAUGACCAUGUUUUCCAUAAACCCCACAUUGUUCCAUUUGACCGAUUGAUCGUUUAUCACCAAUCAUGGCAAUUCUGUGGUUUUUAGGGAUUUUGGGUGAACGACUCUUAUAAUCCACUCUGAUACCAUAUAAAAUUUUGUUUUGAUAAUAAAACUUAAUUCUUGGAGAACGAAGAACAGGAGGCCUAAAUAGGCAAAAUAUAAUAAAGAAAAUUCACUAAUCUUGGAAUAAGAAAUGGAAAACAUAACAGAGAAUAUAUAUANGAAGAUCCUCUUAACAGAUGAAAUUCUACAAAGUUUUUAAUUUUAGGCAAAUCAUAUGACAAAUCCUCAUUACCACAACUAAACAGUACCUAGAGUGUUGUUUUGAUUAUCAAAAUAAAAAAUUCAUUAAACAGAUGGAUAGUAGAUUUCAAAUGGAAUUAUAGUUUCUGCUUGUAUAAGAAGCCAUUGAAGUACAUGCUAUAUAGCAGGGUGUGAGGGGUUUAUAUGGCAUGAUAUGCUUAGUUCAAUAUAAACAAUGCUCUGAUACCAAUCUGUCACACCCCCAAACCGGAACGGGGGAAACGUUCGAAGGUAGAUGACGUCAUGUAUAGUAUCACAACAAUUUUAAAAUAGUAAUCAAAGCAACAACAACAAUUGUAUUGACAAUAUAUAAUUUACAUUGUGUUCAAAACAUUGCCUGAAUUAGACAAAAACUAACACAAAAGAUAAGACGUAAUACUACAAUGCUCCGUCUUCACAACGCCUGUGAGGGUAUCUGUCUACUAAUUUUCCUGAGAAUAAAAGUAAUUUACAAAAGUGUUAACAUUAAAUUUGGUGAGUUCAUAAGCGUUUUUGUUAUAAAAAUUAAAUUCUUUAUUCUUUGGAAAAGUUCGUGUAUUUCUCCAAAAAGUCUUAUGUGUUCUUAUUAGUUGAAUGGAAUGUAGUCUUAGUACCCUAAGAAAAAAUAUAUAAGUUUCUUAUACUUAACGAAUAAUGCUUUGAAAUUAUAUAAGUAAUCGUAUUUGUUUCUAGAAAAUUGGAUUGUAAAUCGUCUAUUUGUAAAAUAAUGAUCUUUAUCCUGGAAAAUCCUAUAUUUUCCAUAAGUUGUGUUGUAGUCUAAUAUGAUCCAAGACCGAAAGGUACAAGUAUAUUCAAUACUUAAAAUCGUUCUAACUAGCUUUAUAUGAAUAUAAAAUUAUUUGAAGAGAUGAGUUUAUACGUAAAAAUCCACGUAUAGUUGUUUAUUAUGUGAGUUUCAUUUAUUUAUAAAACCGUUGAAGAGCUGUGUUUUCACAUAGAAAUAAAUGUGUUGUAAAUUUUACUUAAAAUAACAUGUUGUCAUUUAUCCUAGAAAAAUACUAUAUUUUCCCUUAAAGCUAAUUUGUAGUCUUAAUUGCCCCAAGACCGAAAAAUGUAAGUAUAUUACCAUACUUAGUUUAAUGACAUGUAGUUUUAUUCGUUUAUAAAAUCAUUUGGAGAGAUCUGUUUAUACGUAAAAAUAAGUGUAUUGUCAGUUUCACGUAAAAUAACAUAUUGUCGUUUGUCAUAUGAGUUCUCAUAACCGUGCUAACUAGUGGUUUGCCUGCCGCAACGUUCUUCAAGCAUCAUUAUGUUUGAUAUUUUUCACCCAUAACCUGUCGGUUCUGUUGUAGCUAACAGCCAAGGAGAGGGGUCAUCUAUUCCAUAUAGAUCUAUACACAACUAUCGUGAUCUCCGGGAGGAGACUCGGGUUAUCAAAUCGGACUUCCAUGUAUACCUUGGUAGGUAUAACGAAGACAAUGUCUCACUAAUUUCCAAUGAGUUUACGUAUUUUUGAAAUGAAACUGUUCGUAUAUAAAAUUGUUACCAUUUUUGUAAUAGUUAUAAAAUUUAAAAAUAAACGAAUAUUUUUAUAUAAUCUUUUCUUGGUCCCGAAUGGGUAAAUAAUGUGAAUGUUUUCCAAAUUAUACCUAUUAUAGUUUAACAUGUAUUAUUUCAUUGAAAACGAUGUCCGUUUUGUUUUAACGUGUUUUGCAUGUAACUGUUUACAAAUUUCGUAUUUCUACAUAAAACGUAUUUAAACGUAAUUAAAACGUAAAGCGAUGAUUUGUAUAUUAACACAAGUUUCUUGUGUUUUACUUGUUUCCCUCCCCUCUAAAACAAGGAAAAAGUUAUUGAAAAGCAUAGGGGUAUGAACUCACCUUAUGUGUGGUCGCGGUUUAGAAAACGGUGACUUCAAGCUAGUAUACAGGAAGGAUGUCGUAAUCCUAAUGGUUUUAAACACACAAUAGUGUGUGAAUAAGAUUUUUAACAACACAAGUAUUCCAUAAACACAGAACAAUAUGAAGGGACUUACCAACUUAUAUCAAAUUUGAAGUGAAGAUUUCCUGUAACUUGAAUUGAAAGGAUGAUGGAAUUGGGUUUGUAUCUUAAGAGUAAAAUUAUAAAGUGAAAGUUUACUAAUGAAAUGAAUUUGAGGGAUGCCUAAUUCGUAUCCUAUAUAUGAAGUAUUAAGAUAAGGUUUGCAAAUGUAAAUGGAACUAUUACCUAGGGAAAAUGAAUUAGGAUAAGAUAAAUAGAUGUUUACUGUCAAGUUGUAAGUGUUUACGCCCCAAAAGAGGUUUACACCUCACCAUAAAGUGUUUACGGCCAAGACGAGGUGUUUUCAGCAACCAUGAAGUGUUUAUGGUCAAAGGAAUGGGUUUCAUGGUCCUAUGCCAACUGUGAACACCCUUUUGAUGUCAUUUUAAGAUCCGUAAACUCCCAUUGAGAUGUUUAUAUUAGGCAAAAACUCGUUUAUGAGGGUUAUUUAUGUUUUAAACCCAUAGUCUUUGAACCUAUUUUUAUUUAUAACACUCUAAUUUAGCUUAGUUUUCAAUCCAAACUUGACUAAGGUCUAAUACUAUUGAUAAUAAAAUACAACAAGGAAUGGAAUGUAGUUUCACUUGUUUUUGCUUAAGGUUUAGGCUCUGCUAGGUCUAAAAUUUCGAGUUGUGGCACAUAAAUCAAGAAAGAAAGUUACUGCACAAUGAAGAUCCCUUUCCAUUUAGCUAACUGACAACAUGUUACAUGUAAGCUUUGGAACAUGUAAAAUUCCCUUGAUUCACAAACCACUAGGCAAGUUACAGACACCCUUUCCUUCAACUAGUAUGCAGUCACCAUUUAGUAUAGUAACUGGUAACUCAUGUGUGGUCUCUAUUUUGCUUUCAAUCUAAUCUGCUCUGUCGAUGAUAUGCUCGGUUGCAUCGGAGUCUAUAACCCAAUCACUACAAUGAUUUUCCUUCCCUGUCUUUUUAGCAAUUAUUUCUACGCAUUCUUCAACUGAACCGUUCCAUUGUGUAAAGAUAUUCAGAAAUUGUUGAUAUUAUUCGUUGUUGAAUCCUGAUAUAGGACCUCUUUCAGUUUCUACAUUAGUCGCCUUAGUCUCUGCCCUUUCUUGUCUUCCCUUUUCUGACCACC